rnacentral:rRNA from 1 species
GAUGAACGCUGGCGGCGUGCUUAACACAUGCAAGUCGAGCGGGCAAUUUAUCUAGCACUGAUUACUUCAAAUGGAAAUCAUAAGUGUAAUCAUGAAUUUCUACCUUUAAUAAAGAAAAAAGAAAUUCAUGUACGCAAAUAGUGAUAACACAUUUUAGUGGAGUGAUGAGUGCUGGAUAAAUUGCUAGCGGCGGACGGGUGCGUAACACGUGGGUAACCUGCCCCUAUCACUGGGAUAACACACUGAAAAGUGUGCUAAUACCAGAUAAUAUAAGCUUUUGGCAUCAUUAGCUUAUCAAAGAAUUUCGGAUAGGGAUGGGCCCGCGUCUGAUUAGCUAGUUGGUGAGGUAACGGCUCACCAAGGCAACGAUCAGUAGCCGACCUGAGAGGGUGAUCGGCCACACUGGAACUGAGACACGGCCCAGACU